UCGUGCUAGACGGGGAGCUAGCGGUGCCCUGUACCCGCAAUCCGCUAUAGCGGGGUCGAAUUCCCUUUCGAGGGCUGAUGCGCCUGAGUCUACCAGGGUCAGAAGGUGUAGAAGAUUGGGUCCUGCGCGGCAGGAGCCUGCAAACCCCGCCAGGUCCGGAAGGAAGCAACGGUAAGCAAUCACUCCUGGGUGCCGCAGGGGCGCCUGGUCGGAGCCGGCUGGUUCUGGCAAGUCGGGUGGCACGGUUCGACAGAGGGUGCACGA
rnacentral:SRP_RNA from 1 species